UUGGGUUUCAUGUGGUUCAGAGAGGAGGGACUCAGUGUUCACAGAUCUGACAUGAUCUAAUUCUGUCUGAGAUUGUCUGUAGAAGUUAUUCAGUCUGAAUUAUUCAGUCUGAACACUUGCACAAUGGAUCUUUAUUCAGUUUUUCUGUUCUGUGCAUUAACAGCUACUGUCUUUGGAAAGGUAAUCAAAUCAAAUGUUUUUUAUGAAGAGGGUUCAGAUAUUGUAUUGUCCUGUAGUCAAUCACCUGGAGCUUCAGAUAAUAUCUACUGGUACCGUCAGUAUGAAAGAUCAAAUCCUGAAUUUCUUGUACUCACUUACGGUAGUGCAAAAGAAUUGGAGGUGUCUGAUGUAGAUCCAAGAAUCUCUGUUAAAGUUGAAAAAAGGGGAAUAAUCCAUGUGGAUCUGAAGAUCUCCUCUGCUGCUGUAUCAGACUCUGCUCUGUACUACUGUGCUCUGCAGCCCACAGUCACAGGAAACACAUCAGCUCUCUACAAAAACCUGUUACAAUAAGAGACAAAAGAG